ensembl:lncRNA
CUCCUCUGCUGGGAGACACUGCCAUCGCAUUGGGCCGUGUUUUGCUUUUAUCGCUUCUUAUUAUUGACUCCUAAGAAAAAUAAAUCUAUUCUUCUGGCCACAAAAUAGCUGUGGCAGCAGAAAGCGGGGCUGGAAAGGCUUUUGUGUGGAGAUGUGGGUAGUCAGGAGAGCCAAUUUUCUGGCAUUUCAGGGAAUGCUAUCAGCUGCUGCAUUUGACGAAAGCUGCAGCUUAAGGUGUGAAUCUGUGGUGGCUUCAGAUGAUCUGAAUCCCAGCGUCUCCCACCCCCUCUUCGCAUUCCCAGCUCCACACGUUCCCAUCUCUGUUCCCGUGCCUGCCAUGAGCACUUGUGCUGCCUCUCGCUUCAGCAGCGAGGCAUUGCCAACAAGGCUUAUUUGGGCUGUACAGACACGUCCAGCUGAUGAUCCUGCAAGACCACUUGAUCCUACUCU